GAUCCUGGCUCAGGAUGAACGCUAGCUACAGGCUUAACACAUGCAAGUCGAGGGGCAGCAUUUUAGUUUGCUUGCAAACUAAAGAUGGCGACCGGCGCACGGGUGAGUAACACGUAUCCAACCUGCCGAUAACUCGUGGGAUAGCCUUUACGAAAGAAGAUUAACUACCGGAUGGCAUAGGAUUAUCGCAUGAUAAUCCUAUUAAAGAAUUUCGUUAUCGAUGGGGAUGCGUUCCAUUAGGUUAGG
rnacentral:rRNA from 1 species